AGCUAGGUCGUGCUCUAAGCGUAGUAACCAAAUUCUCGCUUCUGAAGCCGGCCCGGGUCCUGCCGUAAAACCCCCUAUAUUUUUCUGGUUGACCUCGGAUCAGGUAGGAAUACCCGCUGAACUUAAGCAUAUCAAUAAGCGGAGGAAAAGAAACCAACAGGGAUUGCCCUAGUAACGGCGAGUGAAGCGGCAACAGCUCAAAUUUGAAAUCUGGCCUUCGGGUCCGAGUUGUAAUUUGCAGAGGAUGCUUUUGGCGCGGUGCCUUCCGAGUUCCCUGGAACGGGACGCCUUAGAGGGUGAGAGCCCCGUACGGUUGGACACCAAACCUCUGUAAAGCUCCUUCGACGAGUCGAGUAGUUUGGGAAUGCUGCUCUAAAUGGGAGGUAAAUUUCUUCUAAAGCUAAAUACCGGCCAGAGACCGAUAGCGCACAAGUAGAGUGAUCGAAAGAUGAAAAGCACUUUGAAAAGAGGGUUAAAUAGCACGUGAAAUUGUUGAAAGGGAAGCGUUUACGGCCAGACCUUUUCCUGGCGGAUCAUCUGGUGUUCUCACCAGUGCACUUCGCCAGGUUUAGGCCAGCAUCGGCUUCUGUAGGGGGAUAAAAGCAGUGGGAAAGUAGCUCCCUCGGGAGUGUUAUAGCCCUAAGCAUAAUACCC
rnacentral:rRNA from 1 species